rnacentral:rRNA from 1 species
AAUGAACGCUGGCGGCAGGCCUAACACAUGCAAGUCGAACGAGUGGCGGACGGGUGAGUAAUGUCUGGGAACCCGCCCGAUGGAGGGGGAUGACUACUGGAAACGGUAGCUAAUACCGCAUACCAUCGGAUGUGCCCAGAUGGGAGUCGCUAGUAGGUUGGGUAAAGGCGCACCUAGGCGAAGAUCCCUAGCUGGUCUGAGAGGAGGACCAGACAAACUGGAACUGAGACACGGUCCAGACUCCUACGUGAGGCAGCAGUGGGGAAUAGUGCACAAUGGGCGCAAGCCUGAUGCAGCCAUGCCGCGUGUAUGAAGAAGGCCUUCGGGUUGUAAAGUACUUUCAGCGGGGAGGCGUUACCCGCAGAAGAAGCACCGGCUAACUCCGUGCCAGCAGCCGCGGUAAUUC